CAAGAGGGAAGGGAAGGAUGGUAUUAUACCUUUGCUAUUCAAGCUUUGCACACAAUUUAACAAAAAGACCCUUGGCUUAUAAACCAUCCCAGCUUUUGGUUACACGGCACUCACAAAAUAGUAUCUGAAUCAUAUCUUAUCUGUGGAUGACUCAUCCAUUACAGUUAUGUAAAACAUGUGCUCCAAAAAUCAGUGACAUUGGGGCUAGAGAGGAGGCUCGGCAGGGGGAAGUGCUCUCAGCAGAAGUCUUAUGACCCCGGUUUGGACGGCUGGAACCUACUCAACGGGCGGGAUGCAGUAGCACACAUAUCACACAUGUAAUUCCAGCACUACGACUGUGAGAUGGGUGGUCAAGAUGGGAAUAUUGCCCAGGAGCUCAAGGGCCAACUACGCUAGACUGUACAGUGCAACUGCAGAAACAAGAGAGACCCUGCCUCAAGGUGGAAAGCAAGAACCAGCUCCCCGAAGUUGUCCUCUGACCUCCACAUGCAUGCUACAGCACACAGGCACCCCCCCCCUCACACAUACAUACAAAUAAAAAGAACAGUGAAGUUCUGAUGCAGCCUCCAUCAUCCAGUAAUUUGGUAAAAUGACAACUAUAAGAGCAGAGGCUCUGCUCUAUGUUCUCUGAGCCCUUUAGAAAACAUGGAGGUGUUCUGCUGGCCACAUACAUGCAAAUCUACAAGACAGGUUGCAGACAUCAAAGGGACUGGGUACUGCUCAAAAGAAUGCUCCAUAAAUGUCACCAUGGCAAAACUGGAAGAGUCUACCGUUUUAGCAUGCUGAUGGCAUUGUGUUAAAAAGUUAAAGGUAAGGUUCUUUCCAGCAUUACCGUGCCCUCUGAGCAUCCUGAGCACUGUAAGAGUCAGGACAGAUUCCGGAAAUAGUGAAGGAAAAUGACUGUUUUGGGGCGGGGCGAUGAGAGAGGCACCUGGGUUCACCUGGAGCACCAGCCUGCUGCACCCCGAGAAGCACACUGUGUGAGGCCAUGGGAAGGAGGAGCCUGUGCUGCUGAAACCCGGUCCCUGAGAAGUCAUGGCUUCAUGCUCAAAAGGAAAUUUCGGACCUAGACUGUCCACAUGCUUUCUUAACAAAAAGUAGUAAAGUUAAUUUAAUUCAUAGAACUGGCUGAUCAGAGAAGUAUUAAUGGCACAAAGUAGUUCUCAUAUAUUUUCCCUAAAUCUUUCUCCUCUUCAGCCUUUUAUUAACACAUUACAAUGUACAUACCAUAUGUAGAAAGUUCUGGGCCUCCCUUCCCUCCUCACUGCCUUUAUUGGUUUCUUGAGGAGCUCUCUGUCUGCUGGGAGGGAACUUAUUAUGUAACUCAGGCUGGCUUUGAAUUUGCAUCAAUCCUCCUGUCUCAGUCUUUCAAAUGCUAGGAUUACGAGCAUCCACAUCUCUCUCUCUCUCUCUCUCUCUCUCUCUCUCUCUCUCUCUCUCUCUCUCUCUCUCUCUCACACACACACACACACACACACACACACACACUGCUGCAUAAACAAAGCAUACUAUUAAUCAAAUUGACAGUUCUAACAGGACUAGUGGUUUGCUUUAGGGUUGUACACCAGAGGUAAAUUUGUUUCCCGCUUUCUCUUAUGGGCGUCAAUAAAAGCAGUCAUUAAAGAUGGAGAAAAGCUAGACAAACUGACAAAUGGAAAGGAGUAUUAAUUUUUAGACAAUAACUAAGACUGAAAAGAAAUAUAUACUGGGCUUCACCUAAUCUCUCUCAAACAUGUGUUUACAAACAUAAGGAGGCUACCUCAUUUCCACAUACAUAACUGUAUCACAGAUUUAGGAUUCCAAACCCACUGCAGCAUCAAUUUCCUAAUAUCUACCAUGCACAAGUCACUAUCCUCACAAGGGAAAGCAGCACAGUAAAAGAUACCAUGCCCCCAGAGACCCGAGUGACAGAUGUAAACAAAACCGCUCUACACAAUAUGAGUGAGAGCAAAAAAGGGAGGGGGGGGGGGAUUCUGGAUAGAUGGCUCAGUGGUUAAGAGCACUUGCUGCUCUUCUAUAGGACCUGGAUUUGGAGCCUAUCACCAAUAUAGGGAGGGAUCCCAGCAGCCUGGAACUCCAGUUCCAGGGGAUCUGAUGGUGCCUACACACAUGUGGCACAUAACAUUCAGGCACACACAUAGUCAUAAAAGAGAGAAAGAAGGAACAGAGGGGAGGGAUUUAAUUUAAAUGAGGCAACAAGUCCCAGGGGAGAAACUGUUAACUGCACUCAUUCUGUGAAUGAGUCUUAGUUUGGAAAAAGAGCAAGUACCUCAGUAAAGGUGUGUUUUAGCGUCCCCUAGCUGGAUCACACUGGCUACUUAUUAGAGAGAGGUAUCCCGCCUUCUCCCUUUUGUGAACAUUUGCUUAGCUGGAAUGUGUGAAAGGUAUAAUGUUACAUCACAGUUAAGCCAAGAAUACUGGCAAUUACAGGAAGCUAAUAAGAGAUAAAUUAUUUUUUUCAGAGAAUCAGAGAAAGUAAGUCAACACUAAAACACUAAGCAAUUUGUUUUUGUUUAGGUAAUAGCAUAUUCAACCAAGAGUAAAAUAGAAAACAUUUGGAAAGGGAUCACAUAGUAGUUCACAAUGUGGUCUUUGCUGAAAAAACAAAAACAAAAAAACAGCACUACUCUUAAGAGUGACUAAAUGACAAUCUUUAAGAUUUUACAAAUACAAAGUAAAUGUAGAGCAGCAAAUUAAGCAAUCUAGAAAAACAGCUUCAACGGCGCAUAAAGAGGGCAGCUGAAGAAUUUUAAGUUCAUAUUAAGAGCAGGUUAAUAUUUUGCCUGGUUAGACCGGCAAAUUACACUGUUAAGUGUGCCAGUUGUUUUAAACACAGCUUUUUUUUUUUUUUUCUUCAACAUCCGUGCAAUCAGGUAGGUUUGCCAACCCAUAAACACAGGCAUCCUCAUACAGAUUUAAGCCAUUUAUUGCCUGGGGCACGACGGCCUUACAACUAUCCAGUUGCCUCUCCUUUUGUCUUGCUGAGUAUCCGGCGUCCAAACAAAUAAAACGGCUUUAUUUUAUUUCAUACUGUGGAAGGCAAGGCGGCGCCAGAAAGAGCAGUUUGGGAAAAGCCUAGCGCGGGUCCGGGAGGCUGGCGCAGCCCCGCCCCUCGGGUGCUGGGGCCACGCCCUGCCGGGGCGCGCGUCUCAGCCCCGCGUGGCGCUCCACUCGCGGGGGCGCGCUCAUUGCGCGCCUCCCGGCCGCGGGCUUCGCCGCCGGGCAAGCGAUCCCCGCCGAGCGGAGGGCAUGCUUUCCAAAUGGCUUCGCAGCCACAGGGGAGAGCGAGAACGCAGUCCCCCACUACCACAAAUUAUGCAGUCGAGUUUCCCGCAUUUGGGGAAAUCGCAGGGGUCAGCACAUCCGGAGUGCAAUGGAUAAGCCUCGCCCUGGGAAAACCACCUUCAUGAUCAUGGUAUCUCCCCUGCCAGAAGAAGCGAGAAGAGAAGCUUUCAGCUGCUCCAGUGUUUCCUCAGCACCAUACUUUGGGCUGCCGGCUGAAGUAUGGACCUUUACAGCCCCCCUCUCAUCCCUCUAAUAAUUCACCAGGAUUUCCUGAAUCUGAAGCAUCAGAGAUGAAGUGCAGGUGUUCCUAACACCAUAGGGUAACCCUUGCAAUAGGAUGUGAAGAGUUCACAUGAACCCACCCCCAUCUGUAAACUGUCUAAAUCUUAACCACUCAGCAGAUCUACAGUCUUCGUGUAAGGAAAUGGCCAGAAACAUCCAGUACUACUUUCCAAUAUGCUAGCUUCUAGUCCACGAGCUGUUGUUUGUAUUUACAUUAAUUAUGGUGAAUUAGAGUGAAGUUCUCAGUCACACUGGUUACAGUUCAAGUGUUCCAUAACCAUUCAUGGCUAACAGCUACUAGACUGGGAAGAGUCAAUACAGAACGUUUUUGUUAUCACGGAAAAGUGUGUGGGACGGUAUAAGUCAAAAAUAAGGGUACAUGAUUUGACUUUAAUUAAACAAAUGAUGACCUAAAGCUAAAGGAUAGUUACAUGAUGACAGCAGGUAAAAAGAGAAAUGGGGUUGGCUCGUGUGGACCCAAGGCAAAGCCUAAAAAGAAUGCUUGUUCUAAAAAAGAAGGCAAAAUAUUUUAUUUAUCAGUAACACUAAUUCUUCAAUUAUCAAAAGGUCAAAAUAUAGAGACAUUAAGCUAAUGUUUGCUAUCUAUUAAAAUUUCAUAAGGAGCAAAACCACAGAAAAGAAUAAUGUCAAAACAAACACAACCUUUCCUUUUUGUGAAUUACUAUUUCUAAGGAGAUGUCAGGACACACAGACAAACACAGGCUGUUCUUGGUGUGAGUGUGCUGUUUCAGAAUGUGAAGAGGGGCACCAGGGUAUCAGUGUCUGCCCAAUAUAGACAAAGGCCAGGAAAUGUCAGAGCCAAGCCACUGAGGCUGAUUUUAUCCGAUUUCUACCAAACAUGUUAUACGUAUGCUCUGCUGCAUUGCAGACAUGUGAGGUCACGAUUUCUACCAAACAUGUUAUACGUAUGCUCUGCUGCACUGCAGACAUGUGAGGUCACGGUGGCUGAAGAGAAACUUGAAAAUUGACUGUAGCAAGAACAAACAACAAAUCACCGAGUUUGUGGAAAUAGUGAGCUUCUUUUCCAUUUUAUGGGUCACUUCACGAAGUGGGAACCCUCAUGAAAUUUAUUCAUGAUAGAUUCAUAUAUGAACACCAUGUGAAGAGGGCAAAUGAGGGUAUCAGAAAGAGCGCUUCAUCUCAGUGGACACUCCAGUGAAACCAGCAGCUGGGGGCCUGGUUCUGCGUGAGUGUGUCUAUGUGUGUCUGUACCUACGCCUGGAGUAUUUGCUGAGACUGAGCGGUUACGUUGAUAGAAGAUGUGAAGACGGUAUCUAUAUUCGAGGUAGGUAAGUAGGUAUUAAUAACACAAAUGCAGAAGGCAGCCCAAUAAAGCCAAGAAUCUGACCCUCUGGGUAGUUAGUGGUGACUUAACUGUUACUUUAUUGAAGUAGCUGGAUAAUUGGAAAAAGGACUAUCAGUGACUAAGCCAUUAGCAGCAGCUUAGAGUAGAUUAAACCUAAGAUAACCUAAAGUGACCAGGGGUUAGGUCAGGGAGACAGACUGAAUUCAAAGUGGGUUUUCUGCAGCAGUUUGUAAGGAUCCUGGAAAGACAGGGGCUAUUAAUCUUAAUGAACAUUAGGAAAGAUGUACAGAUUUUGACUUGAAUAAUGGGCUUACUAAAUUUGAGUAAUAACUUUAUUUGUAAUGAUUUUACUUUAUAGAUUUCUUAAAUCAAGGAAAAACUACUUAAAUGCUAAUUGUAGAAAUUCCAGUAGUACCUGAGUACAGGAAAUGAAGUCUCAGCCCCUUUCUUUCCCUGGGACCUACCAAUGCACUUGCUAAAUGGAACCACAUUGUUAAAAGUCUAUGUUUGCUUUGAAGGGCAUUUUGAUUUUUUUGUAAAAUAUGUAUGGUUAACUUAUGCAUGGCUUUAUAAAACUUCUAUUGUUCGCAAUGUACUAAAACGUCACAUUAUAUAGUGAACACACUUUGAGACGUCACCAUAGAAGUGAUGUGCCAUGGCAGCCACUUUUAAGAUAUGUAUUAUUUUAGCAGACCUGUGGCAAUAGCAGCAAAUGAAACAGAAUCAUUCAAUGGCCUUAUGCUAAUUAAAGAACAUACAUAACAUAUUACAUCUGUAAUAUAGUACUUAAGUCUUCCUCAAUAAGUAUCUUUUUUUUUUCUUAGAUUCAAACAUUUAGGCUGAGCUUAGACACAAUGCUCCUCAUUUUAUUAUCCACACACGAACUUUCUUUAAUGCAAUAUG